GGCUCCAUGGUUCAAUGGAUAGAACAGCCCCCUCCUAAGGGGCAGAUGCAGGUUCGAUUCCUGCUGGGGCCACCA
rnacentral:tRNA from 3 species